GCCCAGACUCCUACGGGAGGCAGCAGUGGGGAAUAUUGGACAAUGGGGGCAACCCUGAUCCAGCCAUGCCGCGUGAGUGAUGAAGGCSUUAGGGUUGUAAAGCUCUUUUAUCCGGGGACGAUAAUGACGGUACCGGAGGAAUAAGCCCCGGCUAACUUCG
rnacentral:rRNA from 1 species